AGGGUUUGAUCAUGGCUCAGGACGAACGCUGGCGGCAUGCCUAACACAUGCAAGUCGAACGAGAAAGUUCCUUCGGGAGCAAUUAAAGUGGCGCACGGGUGAGUAACGCGUAGACAAUCUGCCCUUCAGUCUGGGACAACUUUUCGAAAGGAGAGCUAAUACCGGAUAACAAUGCAUGACACAAGUUGUAUAUUUGAAAGCUUUAUGUGCUGAAGGAGGGGUCUGCGUCCCAUUAGCUAGUUGGUAAGGUAAAGGCUUACCAAGGCAACGAUGGGUAGCGGGUUUGAGAGGACGAUCCGCCACACUGGAACUGAGGCACGGUCCAGACUCCUACGGGAGGCAGCAGUGGGGAAUAUUGCACAAUGGAGGAAACUCUGAUGCAGCAAUGUCGCGUGAGUGAAGAAGGCCCUUGGGUCGUAAAGCUCUUUUAUGGGGGAAGAUGAUGACGGUACCCCAAGAAUAAGCACCGGCUAACUAUGUGCCAGCAGCCGCGGUAAUACAUAGGGUGCGAGCGUUGUUCGGAAUUACUGGGCGUAAAGGGCGCGCAGGCGGAAUAGUAAGUCGGAGGUGAAAGCCCGGGGCUCAACCCCGGAGGGUCUUUCGAAACUACUAAUCUAGAGAGGGUCAGGGGCCGGCAGAAUUCCUGGUGUAGAGGUGAAAUUC
rnacentral:rRNA from 1 species